ACCCGGCUGGGCAGCCUACCCUCGCAGCAACAGGUGUGCACCUUCCAAGCUUGCAACAGACCACAUUCAGAAGCUUGAUUUCUUGUUGUUCUGGGAAUAUCUGGAUCAGAGAUUUCUCCAAGCCACUCUCCCCGUCAUCUCCUCCACCCCCAGGACCCAACUCCUGCCCCUCCCACCCUAGCCCCUGUUCUCCCUGCCCACCUCCUACCCCACUGGAGUGGCCUUUCAUCAAACCUAAACCAAAGAAACCAACAGACCUUGCUGUCACCACUACUCCGGGACCUGGAAGUUAAAGCGAGGGAGAGACGGUGAAACACAGAAAGCAGAACGCCUUCUGUUCUUCCACAACACAGGGUUUGUGGACGUGGCCACUAUAAGAACUCGCACUGCGUGCUGAUUAUACUCCUCAGCACAAUUCAUUUCUUAAACUUUUUAGAAUAAUUUAAAAUUUACAAAAAGUUGCAAAAAUAAAAACCAGUAAACUUUUC
rnacentral:lncRNA from 1 species